AUGACUGACAUGAGGCGCCACUCCGUCUCCGUGGAUGUCCCACUGUCAAGAACCCUGGUGCAGCUCAAGCGAGUGAGGUCGCUGCGGGAUCCAGCAACAAACUCUAUGAGCAAGUAUGCAUCUCCUUCUGACAGUAUGAUCUGGGAGACUGCUUCUAGCAAUGGAGCGAUGAUGGAAGGAAGCAGGUCAGCACACCAUCAUUUGAUUGAAGAGGAUGUGGAUUUGGAAGCCGAAGCUACCAUGGGGUCAGAGCGAAGCUUCCGGGCACCAAAUGCAAGAACUGCAUCUUACAGGAAAUCUUCAGUUGUUAGGAUCAGAGGCUUCAACCCACCAAGAAACAAGCAAGUUCAUCGUGUCCGCGGGGAUGGUCACAGGAAAUCGGUGGAUUCUAACCACUCUAAUCAUAGCUCCCUUCGGCAGUUGGCAAACAAUAUAGUAACCAACGUGGUGGAGGAGAAGGAAGAGGAGGAGGUGAAUUCCUAUGAACGGGCACAUCUCGCUUUGCCAGAGAAGAGCGAGGAAGAAGUGAAAAGGCGUUCCAAAUUCAAGGGCAAGUCUUCUGCUGCAAUGAGCCGCGUUGGCAGCCCUUGUAUGUCUGCCAGUGAAGCGCGCUCAGUUGGGUCCAGAAGAAGCACAGUAGGGCAUGGAACUGAGGACACACGAGUGAGGUCGAAUGAUGUUGUAGGAUCAAACUUCAGUGGAUGCGGUAUAAGCUACUGCUGGUCAGGAGCAUCAAAGUACCGCGAUCUUUAUUCCGAUAGUGAUGGUCCAGAGCAACCUCUCCUAUCCCCAGAGGGGACUGAGGUACCGUUCCAAGAAAAUGUACCAUACACCGAGACACCAAGGUGUUUAAGCCAAAAAUUUCGCCCUCGAUCAUUCAGUGAACUGAUUGGCCUCAAUGUGGUUGCUCAGUCCCUAUUGUAUUCCUCUUGCAAAGGAAAGAUUGCUCCAAUGUACUUGUUCCAUGGCCCCCGGGGUACAGGCAAGACGUCUACGGCACGCAUUUUUGCUGCCGCUCUAAAUUGCCUCUCUCUCGAAGAGCAAAGGCCAUGUGGGUUCUGUAAAGAGUGUGUCAUUCUCUUCUCUGGGAGGAGCAGGGACGUAAAAGAAAUUGAUGCAGCAAAAAUGGAUCAUUUGGGCCGCGUAAAGGCACUUCUCAAGAGUGCAUCUCUUGUCCCAUACUCGUCACGCUUCAAGGUUUUCAUAGUUGAUGAAUGCCAUCUGUUGCUAGAAGAUGCCUGGUCGGCAAUAGUGAAGAGUCUUGAUGAGCCAUACCGGCAUGCUGUCUACAUUAUGAUUACUUCUGAUCUAGAUAGCUUGCCUCGCACUUCCGUCACACAUUGCCAGAAGUUCCAUUUUCCAAAGAUAAAGGUUGCAGAUAUUGUCAACAGGUUGGAGAGAAUCUGCGUAGAUGAAGGGUUAGAAUUUGACCAUGAUGCGGUGCACUUCAUUGCUGCAAAGUCUAAUGGUUCUCUUAGAGACGCUGAAAUAAUGCUGGAUCAACUUAGUUUGCUUGGGAAGAGGGUCACGAUUUCUCUUGUGCAUGAACUUGUAGGAUUGGUUUCUGAUGAUGAGUUGAUUGAGUUGCUUGAUCUAGCACUGUCAUCGGACACAACCAAUACAGUUAGACGAGCUCGGGAACUUAUGGCGUCGUCAGUUGAUCCCCUGCAGCUGGUCUCUCAGCUGGCAAACCUUAUUAUGGACAUUCUCUCAGGACGAUGCCAAUCUGCGGUAACAGAAGUCAGCAAAAGUUUCUUGGGAAGAUAUGCGUUGGCAGAUGUUGGUAUAGAGAAACUAAGACAUGCACUCAAAAUACUGUCAGAAACUGAAAAACAGUUGAGGACAUCAAGAAAUAAGGCAACUUGGGUUACUGUUGCACUUUUGCAGUUUGGCAGUUCUGAAUCUGACAUAGUAGCAGAAACAAAUGACAUGCAUGCACGCUCAGCAACAGGAUAUACAGAUGACUGGGUAUCCAAGGUAAACUCAAGCUCCAAUUUCUGCGAUGCGUGUAACAGCAAUAAGUCCAACUGUUCCGAGAGACACUGUAGACGGCUUAAGCUUGAAAACAUCUGGAGGAGAGCCACUGGGAAGUGUCAAUCAAGAUCAGCCAGAAGUUUCCUCAAGAAAGAAGGAAUCCUAUCAUCAGUCCAUGUUACCGAAGGUAAUUCAGAGGUGGCUAUAGCUGAAGUUGGAUUUAGUCACCCGGAUCACCUAUCAAGGGCAGAGAAAAUGCAAAGCCUGAUACAAGGAGUACUGCAGCACGUUCUCGGGUUCAAUGUGGAGGUUAGAUUCAAACUUGUCCCGUGUGCAGCGAGGAAAGAUGCAAGGUCAAAGAGACACUCAUUCAACCUGCUCGGCUGCUCGGGACGAAAGCAAGAGCUGUCAGAUUCCACAGUGACAGAUGAGGAUGAACCUGUGAGGCUUGGAGCAAGAGAAACACCUCACAAAGGCUACUCCUCUAGUCAGCAGCCAUCGCCAUUCAUCGUGCAACGUGUUGAUUCUAAGCCAACAGUUCAUGGCUCCGAGGACGAUGCCCGGAGCACCUUGACAUCAAACAGAUCCAUGACUGAUGACCUGACAAGGACAUGUAGGUCGGAGACUAACUACUCCAAGGGCGCAAGUGAGCAGGGUCGUUUCGACAGCAUCCAGGAGCCUGACCUUCAGCCGAAUUGCUUCUCACGAACAUUGAAGCUGCAAAAGAGGUUCUUCUCGUCAGAUGCAGCACACACAAUCUGCUUCAGGAUCCAGCCACACAACAAAAUGGGUUUCCUACCUAAGAAAGAAUUCGAUACAUAUUUCUGCACAUAUGGGCCGUAUGAGCAGUGUCCAAGAUCGAAUUCAAGAGCUACUUACGGUUCGAGAGAUGAGGACUUGUCCAUCAAGACUUCUUCUGGGUUUGGUUCGAACCUGCUCUGCUGGAAGGGCCCUAAACAGUCAAUCUAA
rnacentral:rRNA from 1 species